rnacentral:rRNA from 1 species
ACAUUUACCGGUACUAUAUGAAUCAGCNCCGUCUAANUCAGUACCAGCAGUCACGNUAAUAAGGAGGGUGCAAUCGUUGUUCGGAUUUAUUGGGUUUUAAGUAUGCGUAGUCGGUUUAUUAAGUCAUUGAUGAAAGACGUUCNNUUAACGAUUGCAGUCCCAUUGAUAGUNAUAGANUAUAAUACAUUUGANGUANAUGUAAUGUAUAGUGUAGCGAUGAAAUG